UGAACGAACACGGUGCCGUCGGUGUAGGCGUGCGGGUUGAUGGCGCGCGUGGUGCGCUGCCCGCAGACGUUGCAGGUGAAGGCCACCCGCAUCCGCCGCCGCGGGGACUUUGUGAAGAGCGACCACGGCAGCGUCGACACCUCCGGCCGGUUCGCGGCGCCGCCGGCCAUCGGUGGGCCCUCCAUCCCCGACCCUGUCGUCCAGCCGCUCCCCGUCGCGGCGCUCAUCACCAGCCCCAUGGCAGCGUCCUGCAGAUGCCACAACGAUCCAAUUAGCAACAGCUUAACUGUCAGCUGAUGCCUUGGGAGAACAUAUUGAUGCACCCCCGGCAAAAACCAGAGCACUGAUUCCAGCCCACGCUGAUAAUUCGGAGUGCUAUCCAAGGAACAAAUCAAUCGGCGUGCUGCAACACGAAUCGAGGCUGAAAACCGUCGGGAUCGCGGGCAAAUCCGCCGCGAAUCGACCACCACAUCAGACACAAGACAUGGAGUUUGAUCCAACAGCGACAUGUAGGCUAAAUCGAACGAGUAAGCGGGGAAAAUCAGAGGAAGGCGCGUCGGAUCGCGUGGCUAGAGGGCGAGAUCGGUGGGGGGCCGGACACCGCCGCCGACGUCCGUACCUUGGAGAAGGGCGAGAAGGAGAGGCCGUACGGCGCGAGGCCUGUGGGCUCGGCCCCCGAAGACGGCCGCCUGGACGGCUUGUGGGCUCCGGCAUCCUCCCCCUCGCCGCCGUCUCUCCCUGCAAGGCAAACGGGGACACAUGAGCACCGGCGCAGCGGCAGCAGAAAUGAGACCGGUGGGAUAGGGAUACGCACGCUUGGAGGCGGCUGCGACCGGGACGAAGGAGGCGGCGCGGCGCCGGCGCCGGGGAGCCGCGGAGGGGAAGGGCGGCGGCAGGGCGCGGGAGGUGGUGGCGAUCGCGACGGACUCCAUCGGCGACGGCGGCGAGCAGAUUCCCUUUUUUCCCCCUCUCCGGCCCGGUGGCAACUGGUGAGAGAGAAGGAAAGACAAAUGCGUCUCAAUGCGUUUGGGGUGAGGAUCAGC
rnacentral:lncRNA from 1 species